ACUUUUAAAGGAUAAAAGUAAUCCAUUGGUCUUAGGAACCAUCCAUCUUGGUGCAAUUCCAAGUAAAAGUA
rnacentral:tRNA from 1 species